GGCAAAGUCACCUCUACCUGCACCUUUAAGAAUUCCCGUGAGACAAGAAGAAAGGAUGCUGUCAUUUCUUAAAUGCGGAGCCUGAAGAGUGUCACUUCUGAACUCACCAGAUAAAAUAGUGAGGUUGACUGUGCACUUCAGGACUGAUGGCCCGGGAGGAACCUGCCCGAUGGUCAGAGAAAUGCUGUUCUUGAGUCUUCUAGGCUGCAGCAGAUACAGGAACCCGGACAUCCCAGUGGGUGCCCAUGAAAACCCAGCAUCCAUAGGAUCAGUACUCGUCAACAGCCAAGGCAUAGAACCAGCCUAG